AUUGAACGCUGGCGGUAGGUCUAACACAUGCACGUCACGCGAUUGGCGGACGGUUGAGGAAUACAUCGGAAUCUACUCAGUCGUGGGGGAUCACGUGGGGAAACUUACGCUAAUACUGCAUACGCUUGAAUGAGCCGACGUCGGAUUAGCUAGUUGGCGGGGUAAAGGCCCACCAAGGCGACGAUCCGUAGCUGGUCUGAGCGGAUGAUCAGCCCGACUGGAACUGAGAAAAGGUCCAGACUCUGACGGGAGGCAGGCGUGGGGAAUAUUUGGCACUGGGCGCAAGCAUGACCCAGCCAUACCGCGUGGGUGAAGAAGGGCUGCGGGUUGGAAAGCCCAUUUGUUGGAAAAGCGGUACCCAAAGACUAAGCACCGGCUAACUUCGUGCCAGCAUCCGCGGUAAUUC
rnacentral:rRNA from 1 species